rnacentral:rRNA from 1 species
UACGUAGGGUGCAAGCGUUGUCCGGAAUUAUUGGGCGUAAAGAGCUCGUAGGCGGUCUGUCGCGUCGGAUGUGAAAACCCAGGGCUCAACCCUGGGCCUGCAUUCGAUACGGGCAGACUAGAGUUCGGUAGGGGAGACUGGAAUUCCUGGUGUAGCGGCGGAAUGCGCAGAUAUCAGGAGGAACACCGGUGGCGAAGGCGGGUCUCUGGGCAGUAACUGACGCUGAGGAGCGAAAGCGUGGGGAGCGAACAGG